AAAAAGUGUCCAACUCCCGUAAAUUCUUUAACAAAUUCAUUUAAAAUCUAUUAUUAAUAAAAUAUUUUAAUAAAUAUUAGUGCAAAAUAGUACAACAAAUAUGGCCCUAGUAGUGUUUUUAUGUGUUCGAAAAAGUGUUUUUAAAAGCU